CCCGCCGCAGCGCCACCGCCUCCCCUUCACAGCUCUGAGGGGAGAUGGAGCCCCUCGCCUUGCCCGAACCCCCCGGUAAUCAAAUCACUGCGUCAGGUCCCCUUGUACUUGGCACUGAUAAACCCUGAACCUUAAGCCAGGAGGAGCUUGAUCACACCAUCUCUUUCUCUCCACUGUGACCACACCGACCUCUUCAGGUGAGACUUCCUGCUGCCAUGAGCUGUCCCCUGCAGCCAAUGGCAAUGACUAUGACAGGAGCAUCCUUGAGAAAUCCACUGCAAUCUGAGCAUCCAGACAGGCUGAACCCACCCUCUAUGCUGGCUGAAGUGCUAGUGACUCCUCCAUUGUACUUUGCCUACUCUGGGAAAUGUGAAACAAAAACCCUUCAGGGAUCAAAGACUACCUGAACUUUCCAUUCUAGAUGAGUGACUGGAAGCAAGUAUUUGUCCCUUCUGAGGAAGACCACUAAGUGCAACAGGCUUUUCAUCAAGCUCCUCUACUUGCCAUCACAGACUUGAGUCACUUGGGGCACAUCAGAAAUACCAGACAGGCAUUAAUGUACCAGCAGACAUCACUAGAGAGAACUGGGAUUGUAAGGACCUUUGAGAACCACCUGUGGUGACAUCAGGCAUAAAAGGACAGAGAAUCAAGGAUUGUAAUACACAAAUUACAGGUAAAUACAACCAAGUGUUGUCACAUGGUUUUAGGUGGGAAAUACAGCUACACAACUCUUUAGUACUUAUGCAUAACCUAAUGACACUGUUACCCAGUCUAAUAAUUGCCAGUAAAACAGAACAAUUUAGAAAGCAAUUCAUUUCCCAAUGUCCAUUUUAGCAAAGCUAAUUUCAAAACACACAUUGCUGCAACUUCCAAAUAAAUGCACAUGCAAAAGCACUUAUUGCUCACUGCACUGAAUGCAGAUUCCAACUAACAGCACCUAUUUGAAUUGAACAAAACCAGAGACAAUGUUCAUUUCCUUACUGAAACUUGUCAGUUGACUCAGUUCUAUUAAAACAACUGGAAAGCCUUUUUCCACUCUCCUCUCCUGCAGUCCUGUGCUCUUUAGCCAGCUGCACAUGCAAAGCAGCACAACUCAGCAGUGCUUGCUAUGUUGUAAAGAAAAAAAACAAAAAACCCCACAAAAAUCAAGAGCUGCAGUGUCACAAUUUUCCUGGGAAAACAGGGACUAAGGAACCUUUACCCUGAUUUUACCUGACCUCUGAGACCUGAGGACUCAUAGACACAGUGAAUGUAUUAGCACAGAGCAGAGCUGCAUGGGAUAAAAUAUUUAUGGUUUCUAUUUCAUCACUGGACCUGAAAUGAGGCAUGGUUAAACCUCUUCCUGAACCCUCUCCUCAGUGUGGCCAUGCCAGCAAAGCUUAGCAGAUCAGCAAUAGUAGAAACAAAAUGUUUAGACACGUUUUCAGAUAUCCAUGUAUUUUCCUUUUUUCUCCCUUAAAAAAGGCAGAAGCAGGAAGUGCAAAGGGAAUUCUAGCUGAAGUGACCUGCCCAGCUCCCAGCUGGGGCACUAUGGGGGCUGACACAGAGGCUAUUUUAAGAUAAGGAAAGGCUCACAACCUUCAGAUGUCAACAUUUAGCAGUGGGCAGAAUUUCAAGUAUUUACACAGCCAUGUCCCUUUCUGAGGAAAUGCAAACAUGAACGUUUUUUACACCAUAACUGCUGUGCAGAACAGGAAGUGUUACCAAGAAGGAGUUGAAUUCUUUUCCCACUCAUCCAAGUCAGGAUGACAAGCUUUGGGGAUUACUACUGUAAUUUGUGAAAAUACUAUAUUCAAAGACCUGUAAUAAACCACAGACAAGACUGGAGAUAACUGCUUUAUUUUUACAUUUCAGCAACAGGAGAAAUAAUUGAAGAUGAAAUUACCUGCUUUGUUGUAAAGUAUAAAAACAUUUAAUUAUAAAUAUUUAGCUAAAAAAGCGUGAUUUAUAAAAUAUAAUCUGUGAAGAUAUAUACACAGUUUAAUCGUUUAGCAAUUCUUUCACCUGACAUUAAAGAGUAGAGGUUUUUCUAUUUAUUAUUCCAUGCUCACAGUUUAGUGCUCACAGUUUAAGAAGCAAAACAGAUUAAGUGAAAAGAUGACUGGUGAGUUUUGUCCUGGAAAAAAAAAAAA